AACGAACGCUGGCGGCAGGCCUAACACAUGCAAGUCGAGCGCUGUAGCAAUACAGAGCGGCGCACGGGUGAGUAACACGUGGGAACGUGCCCUUUGGUUCGGAAUAACUCAGGGAAACUUGAGCUAAUACCGGAUGAGCCCUAACGGGGAAAGAUUUAUCGCCGAAGGAGCGGCCCGCGUUGGAUUAGCUAGUUGGUGGGGUAAAAGCCCACCAAGGCGACGAUCCAUAGCUGGUUUGAGAGAACGACCAGCCGCACUGGGACUGAGACACGGCCCAGACUCCUACGGGAGGCAGCAGUGGGGAAUCUUGGACAAUGGGGGAAACCCUGAUCCAGCCAUGCCGCGUGAGUGAUGAAGGCCCUAGGGUUGUAAAACUCUUUCGGCGGGGACGAUAAUGACGGUACCCGCAGAAGAAGCUCCGGCUAACUUCGUGCCAG
rnacentral:rRNA from 1 species